rnacentral:rRNA from 1 species
UCAUUAGUUGCUACGAAAGGGCACUCUAAUGAGACUGCCGGUGACAAACCGGAGGAAGGUGGGGAUGACGUCAAGUCCUCAUGGCCCUUAUGGGUAGGGCUUCACCCGUCAUACAAUGGUCGGGACAGAGGGUCSCCAACCCGCGAGGGGGAGCCAAUCCCAGAAACCCGAUCGUAGUCCGGAUCGCAGUCUGCAACUCGACUGCGUGAAGUCGGAAUCGCUAGUAAUCGCGGAUCAGCAUGU